AGGGCUGUGGAACAUCUCAUUGACCCUCUCUUCCUCUGCCCUCUGCUAAGACUCCUGAGUUGACCAAAUUUUGUGCUACCAUCACUAUGUAGAUGACCACAACUACUUGUACAGAGGCCACGAGUCAGUAGAAAAGUGAGUUCCUAUCUACAGGAAUACGCUUCAUCAGUGAUGUGCUUUGGUGAAUAGAGACUAAAACUGGACCUAGAACCUCUGCUUUAAGAUGCCAUCAAGAUCUACAAUCUGUGAGACAGGGUUCUUCCCACACCCCGGCAUUUGCUCUCCUCCAUUUGGAUAAAAGUCAAUAUGUCCUAUUGCUGGGGACAUGCCAAAACCUGAAGCAUUUAAAA